rnacentral:rRNA from 1 species
UACAGAGGGGGCAAGCGUUGUUCGGAAUUACUGGGCGUAAAGGGCGCGUAGGCGGCCUGCUAAGUCGAACGUGAAAUCCCUGGGCUCAACCCAGGAACUGCGUCCGAUACUGGUUGGCUUGAAUCCGGGAGAGGGAUGUGGAAUUCCAGGUGUAGCGGUGAAAUGCGUAGAUAUCGGGAGGAACACCAGUGGCGAAGGCGAGUCUCUGGGAUGAUGCUGACGCUGAGGCGCGAAAGCCAGGGGAGCAAACGGG